GUCGGUCGGGCGCGCGCCGCCCUCGCGGGGUGGGCCCCUGCGGCUGGCUCCUUUGUGCACCGCGAAGGGCGCUGCGGAAGCGAGAUGGGUGCCAGACCCCACUCUGGCCUCCUUUUACCCCGGACCGUCUGAGGCUCAAGAGCGGAAAAGACAGGAGGCGGGGAGCUGGGUGCAGGAGAGAGCGCGCGGAGGGUUGCACUCAGUUGGCCAGAUGUGGACAUUACUAGACCAUGAUUCUGGAUGACUUAGGAACUUCUCUUCUUGGAGGAGUCUGCGAGAUUUUUCUUCCCAGGGGACAACCCCCAGGAACUGGACACUCCCUAACCUCAGGGUACUUUGAAGUCAAGGUCUACUGGUACCUGGGAUCAGGAGUUGAGUUUCCUGGCCACUGAAGGGCCAAAGGACUGGAAGUGUGACUCGGUGCCCUUUUCCUGACUGUUGAGAA